GCUGGGAGCUGGCUUGCCUGCGAUGCAGACACCUCGGUCUGUCAGUUAAGCCGAGUGGAUGCCAUCGCAGGCAAGCCAGCUCCCACA
rnacentral:misc_RNA from 1 species